rnacentral:lncRNA from 1 species
GCAUUUAGUUGAAGCUGCAGGGGAGUGAGGGAGAGGAGGAUAGGAAGCAGGAAAGCGGGAGAGCUCGAGGGACAAGGGGGCUCGGUGUGUUUACACCAGGCACGGGCUACGAGCGUCCAUCCCGGCCCCUGGCUUGCGCUCCCGAAGAGGAGAGCAAGGCUGUUCUGGGAUCCGGCCGUCGUGCGGCAAGAGGCUUGUCUGUCCGGGUUGCCGGAACCAGGAGAACCCAGAGGGAAACCGAGGGAAAGGAGCGGCGCGUUUUACUAGAGAGAGCGCGAGCGGAAGAGGCGAGAGCAGGAGCGCGCGAGGGAGCAUCGAGCGCAGCGGAGACAUGAGGACCUACUGGCUGCACAGCGUCUGGGUGCUGGGCUUUUUCCUGUCCCUCUUCUCAUUGCAAGGUAGGGGGAGGAUUCCCUGACCCCUUGCGCCCCCUCCUCCCUGCCGCCGGGCUCCGGGGUGGUCGGUGGAGUAAGAAGCGCUCCGGUUCUGGAUGGAACAGGGUUUAUUUACAAGUCCUGCGGUGCGCUCCCUGCCCUGCCAGCUCUGCGCCCAGGCUGGGUCCUGAGGCGUGCGGGAUUGUGCGGACAGACUUGCUGCAACAUCGGUGUUGAUGGGGAAAGAAGCCAGGGCUUGUGUGUGUGUGUGUGUGUGUGUGUGUGUGUGUGUGUGUGUGCGCGCGCGCGUGUGAACGGGGGG